CUCAGACUGUUUGUCUACAGAACAAAUUCUCAGAAAUUAAGAUGCCGCUCUCCUCAAUUUCCCAGUCUAUUCUGACUCUCAUGGAAGGUAUCCCACCUCUUCCACCUCAAGGUGUACUAAAAUUAAAGUCUUCUAAACUAAUUGAUUAUGAGCAACUAGAAAAGUUGUGUGAAAUCAAAGGCCUUAAAGCUGGAAAAGGUGCUCAGAGCACCAAAGAAGCACACGAAAACUUCAUGAAACAUUAUAAAAAAAUAUUUCAGAAAGAAAAGAGGAUCUUGCCUUACCUCCCAACAUCUCCAGCCAAAAUGUAUACUCCAGGAGACACCACAUAGAGUUAACAGAAAGUAGAGGUUGAAAUCAGAG
rnacentral:lncRNA from 1 species